rnacentral:rRNA from 1 species
GACAGAGGAUGCAAGCGUUAUCCGGAAUGAUUGGGCGUAAAGCGUCUGUAGGUGGCUUUUCAAGUCCGCCGUCAAAUCCCAGGGCUCAACCCUGGGCAGGCGGUGGAAACUACCAAGCUGGAGUACGGUAGGGGCAGGGGGAAUUUCCGGUGGAGCGGUGAAAUGCAUUGAGAUCGGAAAGAACACCAACGGCGAAAGCACUCUGCUGGGCUGACACUGACACUGAGAGACGAAAGCUAGGGGAGCAAACAGG